UCAACCUUCCAAAAAGAAACCCUAGAUAGAUCAACUAUGAAAGGAAACCCUACUAGACCUGUACCCAAAAAUCAGUAGCCCUCAAGAGAUUUGUGAGUGAACAUGGAGCAAACAUAGAUUAUAGAGCAACAUGCUCCAAUACCAUGUUAAACAACAUAAAAUAGCUUUCAUACUAUGUCAAGUAACAUAAAACAAAAUAGCAAAUCAAGGAGAAAAUAAGAAGAAGACGCUACAAAAGAAUACACCUCCAGUGGCAAUUCAAGAAGUGGAUAUAGGUCAGUUGCUGCUAAUAAUACUAAUAUAUAGCGGUAGUCACUUAAAACUGCCGCUAAAAACAUUGUUGACUACCGCUAUAAGGUUGGCAUCAAAUUUCCUUUUCUCCUCCCCCGCGUAAAUCCCUAAACAUCUCUCUCUCUCUCUCCUUUCUCACAAUCGGAGAAUGAUAUCGGUCAAAUCUUCUCACAAUCGAAUGGGAACCAAAGGGCAAUCUCAAUCUUGACUUUCUUGCAACCAGAGAACAACCUCGGUCUGGAUUUUCUCACAAAUGGACGACAACCAAAGGGUGACCUCGAUCUUGACUUUCUCAGCACCAAAUAAACAACCAAAUAUCGACAUUAACAUGUUGCAUUUAGGACAAAGGUUUUCCACCCAAAUAUUAACAGCAAUGGCAGUAUUUAUCUUAACAUAUUGGAGCAGUGGGGCCCUGCCCUGACUAUUUCCAAGUUUCUAAAGGUGGAGAGUGGAAGUUUUCCUCCUACACUACAUGGUUAAAAAGUCAGCACCCAAAAUAGAUGGAGAUUUAUUCUGUGAAUGCAAGGUUGUUCAGCCUCUAUGACUGCUAAUAGUUCAGUUGAUGAUGAGGAAAACUCGGGACCCAUGUUGGAAUGAAGAAUUCCAGUUCAUGCUAGAACAAGCCCCUUUAAAUUAGAAGCUCCAUAUUAAAGUCAUUGGUAAGCGGGCAUGCUUAGGUUUCAGAGGAAAGGAAUCAUUGGGACAUGUGGACAUCAAUCUUACAGACAUUGUGAACAAUGUCUAGCAGCAGCUCAAGUGGCUAUUUGAGAGAGGAGUCAAUCAAGGAACAUAAAGCAAGACCUCUUGCUGUUUUAGAUAACUUUAUAUGCAGGAAUUAUGUAAAUAAAUAUGGGUUUUGAAAGGAGUCAACCAAUUGCAAGUGUCUUGAGUUUUGAGAAUGGAUGAUGAAAUUUGUAUUAGAGAAUGUAUUAAUUUGUGAUUCAAAUGUUUUUUUUGUAGAAAAAUAUUUUG